UAACGCGUGGAUAACCUGCCUCACACAGGGGGAUAACAGUUAGAAAUGACUGCUAAUACCGCAUAAGCGCACGGCAUCGCAUGAUGCAGUGUGAAAAACUCCGGUGGUGUGGGAUGGAUCCGCGUCUGAUUAGGUAGUUGGUGGGGUAACGGCCCACCAAGCCGACGAUCAGUAGCCGACCUGAGAGGGUGACCGGCCACAUUGGGACUGAGACACGGCCCAA
rnacentral:rRNA from 1 species